GAUUGUGGCAUGACUUUUGACGAAAAGAGAAACCGCGCCCUUCGCAUCAAUAGCAGUGAUGACGGGGGUGCGAUGUGGCAUCCGUCCUCUAACAUUGUUCGGCGGGCUUCGCCUGUCGGGCCGAUGACAGUGGGCGGUGCUUCUUUGGAAUAAAUGCGGCUGAUUCAUGAUUGUCUUGGUGCCAUGCGCACCUUGCUCGUUGCUCGGCAUGUUGCCUCAAUCCUCCGCGCAACUGCGCUCCCUCGUUUGCGUCCACCCUAGCGGUGGCGCCUGCGGGGGCAGCGUGCAAGUUGUCUCGAGGUUGUGCUACCUGGUUGAUCCUGCCAGUAGUCAUAUGCUUG
rnacentral:misc_RNA from 1 species